rnacentral:rRNA from 1 species
AUCAACUUUCGAUGGUAGGAUAGAGGCCUACCAUGGUGGUAACGGGUAACGGGGUGUUAGGGCACGACACCGGAGAGGGAGCCUGAGAAACGGCUACCACAUCCAAGGAUGGCAGCAGGCGCGCAAAUUACCCAAUCCCGACACGGGGAGGUAGUGACAAUAAAUAACAAUACGGGGUCCUUUCGGGUUUCGUAAUUGGAAUGAGUACAAUUUAAAUCUCUUAACGAGGAACAAUUGGAGGGCAAGUCUGGUGCCAGCAGCCGCGGUAAUUCCAGCUCCAAUAGCGUAUAUUAAAGUUGUUGCAGUUAAAAAGCUCGUAGUUGAAUUUCGGGAUUAGUACGUUGGUCGUGCCUUCGGUACGUACUGGUGUUACUGAUUCCUACCUUCUGACGAACCAUCAUGUCAUUAAUUUGGUGUGGUGGGAAAUCAGGACUGUUACUUUGAAAAAGUUAGAGUGUUUAAAGCAGGCUCGCGCUUGAAUACAUUAGCAUGGAAUAAUGAAAUAGGACGUUGACCCUAUUUUGUUGGUUUCUAGGAUUGACGUAAUGAUUAAUAGGGAUAGUUGGGGGCAUUAGUAUUCAAUUGUCAGAGGUGAAAUUCUUGGAUUUAUUGAAGACUAACUACUGCGAAAGCAUUUGCCAAGGAUGUUUUUAUUAAUCAAGAACGAAAGUUAGGGGAUCGAAGACGAUCAGAUACCGUCGUAGUCUUAACCAUAAACUAUGCCGACUAGGGAUCGGAUGAUGUUAUUUUUAAUGACUCAUUCGGCGCCUUACGGGAAACCAAAGUGUUUGGGUUC